rnacentral:rRNA from 1 species
UACGUAGGGUGCAAGCGUUAAUCGGAAUUACUGGGCGUAAAGCGUGCGCAGGCGGUUUUGUAAGUCUGUCGUGAAAUCCCCGGGCUCAACCUGGGAAUGGCGAUGGAGACUGCAAGGCUAGAGUGUGGUAGAGGUAGCUGGAAUUCCCGGUGUAGCGGUGAAAUGCGUAGAUAUCGGGAGGAAUACCUAUGGCGAAAGCAGGCUACUGGACCAUCACUGACGCUGAUCUGCGAAAGCUAGGGGAGCAAACAGG